UACUGGAUUCAUGUAGCUUAUUCACUUUAAAUUUUUUUAAAAAAUAGCAAAAAUAUAAAGCAUGGUAUACAUUUCUGAUUUCAUACUUUUUCUUCUUCCUAAUGCCUAUUCCAAGGAGGAUUCCAAACCCGACUUAUACUGUACAGGAAGGAGCAGAGCUGUACCUUUGCUUAGCUUUUCUGGCCAAGAUAGCCUCUUGUCAUUGCCAGCCUCCCUGUUCUGCCUGUAAAAUAUGCUGAAGGUGGGAGAGCAAAACACAGGAUAGCCACUGGUAGUACCCAGUAGAAGCACCCUAAAUGUGGUGUUCUGAAUAUGUGCCAGGGCUGAGCCAGUCCAGGAGCCAUUGGAGCCUGAGCUAUUUCACUGCCAUCACAUGAAAGCAUUGGGCCCAAUCACUGUAUCAGCUCCAUGUUGCCACAAGUCUGUCUUCUCCCUUAUGAUAUGGCAAUUGCCUGACUACUCUGUAGAGCAUCAGGGGUAGGGUGGGGGAGGUUUGAAUUGCAUAAUGAGUGUGUCAAAUAUGACUCUGAAGCAUAGCUGCCAAGUGUCCCAUAUUCCCCGGGAAACCCCCGUUUUUCCAGCCGUUUCCCGCUGGCAGCCCGGAUUUUUAAAAAAAACCUGUAAAUCCCCCAGAUUCUUACCAGCCUGGGGAGGCUCCUGCGCAUGUCUGGAGUCUCUGGACAUGUGCAGAAGCGAUUUCUGGCGCUGCGACCAUUUUGGAAAUGGGCAGAGCAUGCGUAGAAGCGACUUCCGGUGCUGCUCUGCCAAGUUCCAAAAUGGCCACAGCAUGACAUCCGCUGCCGCACCGCAGCCAAUCCUGGAUUUUUCAAUCUGGGAGUUGGCACCUAUGCUCUGAAGUAACUUGCAAAUUCAGGAAGUAAUACAGGCUGUUACUACAUAUCAGAGUGCUCUGUAUAACCCAUCUAUAUUCGUCAUUGUUCCUGUACUAUCUUUGGACAUUUCUGCUUCGUAAAACAAGGCUUGGUUGUUGAGCAAAAAAUGAUGUAUAACAAUGCCGUUCUUGUAAGGACACAAGGAUUGUCUUGCUGGAUCAAGCCAUAGGUUAUUUUGUUCUGUUCUUGGCACCAACAGUAGGCAGACAGAUACAUCUGGGAAUCUCACAAAUAAGCCAUGAUGGAGAUCACUGAUCCCUGUUGUUUGUCCCCAAUAUCGGAUGUUUAAAAAGAAACAAACUCUGAGGAGGUUUGUUCUCCUUUAGGUUUUCUAACCCUUUCAAAAAAGAAAAAAGGGGUGCCCACAAGAUGGACAUAGUGUUUGGGGUCUCUCAGACCGCAGCUCCAUAAUUUGGCUCACCACUGACCCCAAUAGCACCAUGAGAAUGUCUUGCUAAGUCCCCUGAGGGGGUAUGCUGGCAUCAGCACAAUGAGGUAAGGCAGGAAGCCAUAUGAAUUAUUUCAGACCCAAAGAAAAAGCAACAACUUUCCUCCCCUUACAACAAACAGGGCCCUCUAUAAUUGUGUUUCCCUUUUAGCCUUUGAGAGUCUAGGCACCAGCAUAGGAGAUAAAAAAUAUAAACAAAGACCUUGCUACACAGUGAAAAAGGCUGAAAUAUGAGUUAAUGAAUGACUGGGAAGAACCGCCAGUACAGAAACUUACUGACUGGAAUAAACAACAGCCUCUAUAGCUUUAUACUUGUCAGUCAACAACAAAAUGAUUAGAAAGCUAUUUUUAAUAAUAAUAAUAAUAAUAAUAAUAAUAAUAAUAAUAAUAUUUAUACCCCGCCCUCCCCAGUCAAAAACCGGGCUCAGGGCGGCUAACACCAACAGAUUUUUUAAAAAAAAAGAAUGCAGAGUUUAAAGAAACAUCUGGAGAAGAUGAAAUAUUCAAGAUGUGUGGAUGUACAUGGAAUUAUAGAGGAAAUAGGUGGACAUUAGAACCUCCAUUAUUAACUUGUUUAACAUAUUGUCCCUUGAGCUGAAACUGGAAGUUAAUAGUCUGGAACGAGCUCUCAGAGCUGUCAGACUAAGACCCAAGGACUCUUGAUAAUAAUAGUAGUAACAACAAGUUUCUUGUACCCCACCCAUCUAACUAUAAGAGCUUCCUGAAACAGGACUGCCUUCAGAUGUCUGCAAAAAGUCAUAUACAAUCAUACCUUGGUUGAUGAACGCCUUGCGACUCGAACGUUUUGGCUCCCAAACGCCACAAACCUGGAAAUGAGUGUUCCGGUUUGCAAAUGUUUUUUUGGAACGUGAACAUCUGAAGCGACUUCCACGGCUUCUAAUUGGCUGCAGGAGCUUCCUUGGUUUCCAAACGUUUUGGAAGUUGAACAGACUUCCAGAAUGGAUUCUGUUCAACUUCCAAGGUACGACUGUAAUUGCUUAUCUCUUUGACAUCUGACAUCUUUCCCAAGAGACAUUUGUCAGGUACAUAUUUGUCAGGUAUAAUAAUAAUAAUAAUAAUUUAUUAUUUAUACCCCGCCCAUCUGGCCGGGUUCCCCCAGCCACUCUGGGCGGCUUCCAGAAGAAAAAGAUGAGCUAAUGCAAAAAGUGAGAACCUUACAAAACCUACAAUAUAAUAAUACCCCAAUUAUUGUUUUACAAGAUCUGGCACUUGAAACGUCUAAAGAAAAUAUGUGAACUGUGCCCCUUCACACUAAAGCUAUGGAAUGCAUGUUAACAAUGCUGUAUUGUAAAAAUCAUUUUUUACAAUCAUGUGAUUACGAUGAAGUUUUCUAGAGCACUAGGGAUCACCUGAACCUUAAUGGUACGCAGGCUGAGACCCUACCUGCCCACAGACUGUCUCGCCAGAGUGGUGCAUGCUCUAGUUAUCUCCCGCUUGGACUACUGCAGUGCACUCUACGUGGGGCUACCUUUGAAGGUGACCCGGAAACUACAAUUAAUUAAGAAUGCGGCAGCUAGACUGGUGACUAGGAGCAGCCGCCGAGACCACAUAACACUGGUCUUGAAAGACCUACAUUGGCUCCCAGUAUGUUUCCGAGCACAAUUCAAAGUGUUGGUGGUGACCUUUAAAGCCCUAAACGGCCUCGGUCCAGUAUACCUGAAGGAGCGUCUCCACCUCCUUCGUUCUGCCCGGACACUGAGGUCCAGUGCUGGGGGCCUUCUGGUGGUUCCCUCGCUGCGAGAAGCCAAGUUACAGGGAACCAGGCAGAGGGCCUUCUCGGUGGUGGCGCCUGCCCUGUGGAACGCCCUCCCACUAGAUGUCAAAGAGAAAAACAACUACCAGACUUUUAGAGGACAUCUGAAGGCAGCCCUGUUUAGGGAAGCUUUUAGUGUUUAAUAAAUUAUUUUAUUUUAAUAUUUCUUUUAGAAGCUGCCCAGAGUGGCUGGGGAAACCCAGCCAGAUGGGUGGGGUAUUAUUAUUAUUAUUAUUAUUAUUAUUAUUAUUAUUAUUAUUAUUAUUAUAUCAUCCCAGCUCAGUCACUAAUAUAUCAUCACCAGGAGUGUUGUUGGUUAUUCCCUGAGUUGGUAAGGCUCAUUUUAAAACAACUUGAAAUAGAGCCUUUAGCAUCAUUUUUGGAUACCAGAGAUAGAGAUUCAGCAGGUGCCUUCUGUUGCAACUUUUAAACACCUGCUGAAUCUAUUACCGUAUUUUUUGCUCCAUAAGACACACUUUUUCCCUCCCACAAAGGAAGGGGGAAAGUCCAUGCGUCUUAUGGAGCGAAGGCAGUGGAUGGCAGCAGGAUCCCUCGAGUGGAUGGCUCCCAGUGGCGGGGGAGGCAGCAUCAGUCUGAAAUUGGGCCGGUGCUCCCUCCGCAGCUGCUACCGCCAGUGGAAGAGGGGUGGGGGAGGCAGCAUCAGCCUAAAAUCGGGCCGGUGUUCCCUCCGCAGCCGCCACGGAUACCAGCACUGUGCCUCUGCUAACAGCGGGUAGCAAGCCCCGCCCCUGCAAGGGGGGUUCGCGGGAGCAGCGACCCAGAAGGGCUCGUUUCAGGCCGCUCUUGCUAGCCACCGUUGGCCUUGCUAGUCCCCAAACCUGAGCUCUUAAACAUGCUUAGAACCCAAGCUGCAGGUAGGAACAUCACAAAUGAAAAUAUCAAACACUUCAAGGUUUCUUU